AACGCAUCUUGCGCUCCUUGGUAUUCCGAGGAGCAUGCCUGUUUGAGUGUCGUGAAUAACUCUCAAUUUCAAAUAUUUUAGAAUAUCUGACAUUGGACUUGGGCGUUGUCGUGUUUCUACGACUCGUCCUAAAUGCAUUAGCGAUCUGCCCUGAUCACACACAAUGUGAUAAGUAAAAAAUAAAGCAUUGUUAUGGUUGGGUUUGAAAGAUGGCUUCUAAUCGUCGUAAUGACAAAUAAAAGACCAUGUCGUUUGACCUCAAAUCAGGCAGGACUACCCGCUGAACUUAA
rnacentral:misc_RNA from 2 species